rnacentral:rRNA from 1 species
AUACGGAGGGGGCAAGCGUUGUUCGGAAUCACUGGGCGUAAAGCGCGCGUAGGUGGAUUGAUCAGUCAGGGGUGAAAGCCCGAGGCUCAACCUCGGAACUGCCCUUGAUACUGUCAGUCUAGAGUUCGAGAGAGGUGAGUGGAAUUCCUAGUGUAGAGGUGAAAUUCGUAGAUAUUGGGAAGAACACCAGUGGCGAAGGCGGCCAUCUGGAUCGGUUCUGACGCUGAGGCGCGAAAGCGUGGGGAGCAAACAGGAUUAGAAACCCCAGUAGUCC